rnacentral:rRNA from 1 species
GGAGUUAGCCGGUGCUUCUUCUGCGAGUAACGUCACAGAUGUAAGGUAUUAACUUACACCCUUUCCUCCUCGCUGAAAGUGCUUUACAACCCGAAGGCCUUCUUCACACACGCGGCAUGGCUGCAUCAGGGUUUCCCCCAUUGUGCAAUAUUCCCCACUGCUGCCUCCCGUAGGAGUCUGGGCCGUGUCUCAGUCCCAGUGUGGCUGAUCAUCCUCUCAGACCAGCUAGGGAUCGUCGCCUAGGUGAGCCUUUACCUCACCUACUAGCUAAUCCCACCUGGGCUUAUCCAUCAGCGCAAGGCCCGAAGGUCCCCUGCUUUCCCCCGUAGGGCGUAUGCGGUAUUAGCAGUCGUUUCCAACUGUUAUCCCCCACAAAUGGGCAAAUUCCCAGGCAUUACUCACCCGUCCGCCGCUCGUCAUCUUCAAAAGCAAGCUUUUGAAAUGUUACCGCUCGACUUGCAUGUGUUAGGCCUGCCGCCAGCGUUCAUCUGAGCAUGAUACAACUACUGA